GUCUUUUUGUCUUAAUAAAAUAAAAAGUCUGACCUGCCCGGUGAAUUAAAUUAAACGGCCGCGGUACCUUGACCGUGCAAAGGUAGCAUAAUCAAUUGUCUUAUAAUUGAAGACUGGAAUGAAUGGUUUAACGGAAUUAUGGCUGUAUUGUUUAUAUUAUUUAAAAAUUGGCUUUUAAAUGAAGAGAUUUAAAUUUAAUCAAAAGACAAGAAGACCCUAUCGAGCUUAAAAUAGUUUGGAGAGUGAAUUUUAUAAGGUAGAUUAUAGUUCUUGAAGAUUUUUUGGUUGGGGCGACUAAGGAACAAGUAAAGCUUCUUUUUAUUUUAAUAACUAAAUGUGUUUUGAGCCAGUAAUUUGAUUCUGAUUAAAAGAGAUAGUUACCGUAGGGAUAACAGCAUAAUCUUUUUUGAGAGUUCUUAUCGAAAAGAGGGGUUGUGACCUCGAUGUUGGACUAAAAUAUCCUGAGAAUGCAGUAGUUUUCAAGGGUUGGUCUGUUCGACCAUUAAAAUUUUACAUGAUCUGAGUUCAGACCGGCGUAAGCCAGGUCAGUUUCUAUCUUUGGUUGGUGAUUUAGUUUCAGUACGAAAGGACCAAAUUAAAAGAAAUUUUUCUUAUGUGCGAAUUUAUAUAAUUUUAUUAUCAAUGUUAUAA
rnacentral:rRNA from 1 species